rnacentral:lncRNA from 1 species
GUUGGUGGAGUGAGGCAUUUGGACCUGGAUGCUCUCCCCAUUGGGCGCCCCCCGUUGGUACGUUUCGCCAGCUGUGUACUCUAUGAUUGGCUGGCCUUUUGAUGUGCAGGUACUACAAGUUGGUCACAAACUUGUGUACAAUGGGCCUGUUCUGGUUCAUGUGAAAAUCAACAUCCUUUUUUGUGUUACCGGGUGACAGGAUGCUACAAUACUAUUAGCAUUUGCAAAGAGUGUGCUCUGUCCAAGGGUGUAACCACAGGUCGUGUGCUGCUCACUUUGUGUUUCUCUAUUAUGUGAGAGACACAAAGAAGCUGAGGGCUCGCAAAGGCCUGUCAAAUCUUGUAAUGUGGCGCUCGACCCCCAAACUCCACUUGGCCUCCAAGCAUCUCUUGUUCCCUGUCCCACCCCUUUCUCUGAAUGGGCUCUGAGACUGGAUUACAGAGGACAUCGGGCAAUCUUAAUCAGCAGUCUGGAGAUUCAUGACCCC